UGUAAGUGUAUAGGAGAAGAGAUGCUGCUGCCUUGUUAACUUUUUGUGCAACGAAUGGGAUUCAGGAGCGAUCACCUCGUCAAGGUCAUUCGCCAGAAGCGACGUCGGCCGUUUCGGCUCUAGCACAACGACUCCUUCGUAAAGUAGCGAUGCUCUUCUCCACUCCAUGCCGAGGUUAUCCCCUGACUUAAUCUGUUGAUUCUCCAUUCUCCUGUGCGCGUGAUUCUGGCGGCGCGACUGGAGGCAGCAAGUGGGCGCAAAAGCACGUGCAGCAGCCGUCCAGCACCCUCUAGACAUGGCCUCCGUGACCUCGCCGCAGAUUACUUUUUUGAUAUGCUGGUGAUACGGCAGAGCAAGAUUACCCUAUUUGGUAUUGCUUAUGUGGGGUAAUUGGUUCAUUUGUGUGUACUAGUUCACCAAUCACCACUAGGCAGCUAGCUAAAAUUUCAAUGAAGGUAUGUUCAUUGUUAAGCACAAGUCAACUCUGUAAUUUCAUAGUUCCUGUUGUUUCAGUCAGUGCAGAUUGAAGUCUGAUUUUUUUAAUAAUAGGAGAGUUUAAUCAACAUGCUGUCAGACUUGACUACUGUAUCAUCUUCAGUAUUACUAGGCUCGUGCACCUCUCUAGCCCAACUAUUAUAAGAUUAUACAGUAGUUGAUUUUUGUAUGGUUCUUGCUGUUUUUUGCAUACGAAAUGCUCCCCUCCCUCACUCGACACUCUAGAGAUGGCAAUUUUGAUUCAGGUGGUCUACAUAUGUAUGUGUUUUUCCUUGUCUAUAUGAUGCCGUACCAAAACAUUUCAUUUUAAACAUUGCUCAUGAUUGCGUAACAAUACCUCCAAAUUAGCAAGAAUGGACAAACACUGGAUGCAAUCAUUAAGGUAAUUAAACCUCAGUACCACAAAUUUUGGUCAAAUUUAAUCUUCUCAGGAGUAACUACGUAUAAUGUCCUGCAAUAGGUGCACUGCUGACUAUCGAAAAGGUCUCAGGAAGUUUAAUUAUUUUGCUUUCUCCAAAUCAGCAAGGGGCAACAAAAUACAUUGUCCCUCUAGAAAUGUAUGAAUCAGUAUUGGUUAGAGGAAAAUAUUGUGCACGAACACUUACUUUUUUAUGGAUUUGUUCAGGGAUUAUAAUACAAGGAUCUUCCAUGGUGAGGUACCUGUUGAUACUGUUCUUGACAACAAUGUCGUAAUCCCCUGAGCGCAAUACAAGGUCACCGAUAUUUUGGUGAGCCAGACAGCUCGCCUCGAAAUUGGAAUAGCUAACAUUAGAUUUCCACAGAGUGACGAUUUAUUGGUUGCUGUUUGCUGCGAUGUGGAUAUUUUAAGUUACUACCUAGUCUAUAGCAACUGCUACUUUUAUUUAUUGGGAAACUAUGAUGACCGUCGAAAUAUUACAUCUGUGAUGACCGUGGCAACAAUAGUCACCUAGGGAUUUGUAUUAUAGUUUGAAAUUCUUUUUUUGUAUUUUUUAAUUUUGUUCAGAUUAUUCAACAAUUUGUAUUUUGAAAAAUAAUAAAUGGAUAGAUAGAAAAUCACCUUCUUUA